GGGUUGUUAGCUCAGUUGGUAGAGCAAUUGACUCUUAAUCAAUGGGUCUAGGGUUCGAAUCCCUAACAACCCACCA
rnacentral:tRNA from 2 species